UACCCUCCUGCAUGUAUAACUGUGGAUACCACAUUGGCAGCUGCUCAUGUGACUAUGACUGUCAUUAUUAUGGCAGCUGUUGCCCUGACUAUGGCAGUUACUGCCCAACACAAGCACCACCAACAACUUUUGAUCCAAAUACAGCAGAACCAUGUGGUGGCUACAUGACAGAUUGGAUGGGUGAAUUGUUCAGCCCCCGGUAUCCCAAUAGCUACCCUAAUAAUGCACGAUGCACAUGGACCAUUCAUAGCACAGGGAACACAACUGUGUCAUUGAUCUUCAUCGAUGUAAAUUUGGAAACAUGCUGUGAUUACAUCAGAGUGUAUGAUGGUCCUUCUACCUCCUCCCCCUUACUGGGAGACAUACGGGAGUACAGGAACCAGUCUUUCAAAUCCAGCAACAAUGAUCUGACUGUGUUUUUCUACACUGAUGGCAGUGUAACAAAUAAAGGAUUUCAUGCAGAAUGGAUCUCUGUAGCUUUACCUUCCUGCAGGCAUAACUGUGGAUACAACCUUGGAAACUGCUCAUGCGACUACGACUGUCAGUACUAUGGCAACUGUUGCCCUGAUUACAACAGCUACUGCCCAUCGACAACUGACAUUCCAGUAACAGCAGGUCAUUCUUGCAUGCAUAACUGUGGACACCAUUUCGGCAGCUGCUCAUGCACCUACGACUGUCAGUACUAUGGCAACUGUUGCCAUGACUUUCACUGGUAUUGCCCAUCAUACACAACACAAGAUCCUCACCCUCAUUGUGGAGGACACCUGUAUGGUUCUGGACUGUUUUCCAGUCCAAACUACCCAUACUAUUAUCAUGACAAUGCCUACUGUGUGUGGUAUCUCUCUGCUCAGCAAGGACAGAGGAUCUUUCUGACAUUUUCUGAUGUGCAAUUGGAGCGCUGCUGUAAUUGUGACUACAUCACAAUAUACGACGGCUCUUCCACUGGUUAUCCACAGCUGGGAAAGGUCUGCUUCAAUGACACCACACACCAGGUGUUUCACUCUUCUUCACGAUACAUGACUGUUGUCUUCAGGAGCGACUACUCUGGUGUCAGCCAUGGUUUCAAGGCCCUUUUCACAAGCUCUCUGACUGCAAAUCAAGGUCGUGUGGAUUGUUCCUCAGACAACAUGGUCAUUGCCAUUCAAAGGUCUUACCUGAACUCAGUUGGGCUGAGCCCAUAUGACCUUUAUGUGGAUGAUCAUGUUUGCAGACCCUCUGUUAGCAGUAGUGAGGUUGUGUUCAGCUUCCCACUUGACACAUGUGGGACUGUCAAAGAGAUGAUGAAUGGUUAUGUGUCCUACACCAACAAUGUGCGGGCCUCUCAGUCUCAAUCGGGUGAAAUCACUCGUCAGUCACAGUUCCUACUACAUGUGGGCUGCCGAAUGGAGCCGGACACCAUGGUGCAGAUAUUCUACAGGGCCAGGGAGAUCAUCAAUGCCAACAUCACAGGAACAGGCCGCUUCAAUGCCAGCAUAGCCUUUACACCUCCAGCAGUUUCUACUAUCAAAUUUAUGACUCUCCAUAUGAGGUGAACCUGAAUCAGUAUCUGUACGUUCAGGUCAAGCUAAACAGGCCUGACAACAGCCUGGAUCUCUUCCUGGACACCUGUGUAGCGUCUCCAAAUCCCAAUGACUUCAAAGAUCGCUCCUAUGACCUGCUGCGUAACGGAUGUGCCAGAGACAGCACAUAUUACUCCUACACCAGUGGACAUCACUAUUACGCUCGAUUCAGAUUCCAGGCUUUCAAGUUCCUCCGGACUCACGCCUAUGUGUUCCUGCAGUGUAAGGUGAUCAUCUGCCCCGAUAAUGAUUACAACUCUCGCUGCCGCCGAGGUUGUCUCUCACGUCGCAAGAGAUCCCUUGACAGCAGCACCUACCACACCAAUACUGUGAUACUGGGGCCAAUCAAACUCAAAGGUCAGAGGGCAUUAACAGGACUAAGACGUGGUGGGAAGGAUUCUGAGUCAAAGGAAUGAACUGGAGUGGAAGGAAUGAAUAAAUCAUCUACUGGAUCAUCACCUUAACUAUUACUAUUAAUCAAUCUUUAUUAACCACCCAGCAAAUUAAUCUAAACACAAGUUGAUUUUUUGUAAUUCAAUAAAGAAUUUUUA